rnacentral:lncRNA from 1 species
GUUUAGCAAGCUACAUGGUACUAGUGCUUCAAAAAAACCUUGCCUCGCUUCUAGCAGCGGCGUGCUGCUUCGGCUGUGGAGGAGCCGUGUUGGCUCGCUGCUCAAAUGCGCCGUUCCUCUGAACCUGGGGAAGCGAUCGAAGGGUUGCGAGUUCCUCUGGGACCACAACGUGAAGCUUCUUGGGAAACUUGCUUUGCUUAUCCCUCCUUGCUGAUGGCUUGUAAAUGGAAAAAAUACAGAGUAAAUGGCCUGAAAGCUAAGGUGCCAAGUUUAAAAUAGCACUUUAGCCACAUCUGUAUGGAUGUUAAAUUGUAACGUGGCUCCUGUUAAGCAGGAGCAAAGGAGAAGCUGAGGCGUGUUCUUUCAAACAGCUGGUUAAUUCUCCUCGGUGGAUGACUUCUGCUGGACGUAGUUCAGAUCACUUUGCAGGUCUGGUCGCUAUCCCCUGCAUUCAGGGGAUACCUAAAGAUGUGAUGCACCAGCCACUAGCCGCAGGAGUAGCGGAAUGUGCUUCGCUGGGUUUCCUCUUCUACUCUUCAGCUGUUGCGUUCAAAACGAAGCCUCUCGUUGGGUUUGUUUGUACAGCGCUCGGCAUUGUGGCACCCAGAUCUCAGCCAGGGUCUCUGCUCGCUGCCUGAAGGCUGACGGUGAAGCUAUGAAAGCUGAAAGUUAUCUUUAAAGGAAAAGACACAGUCCUGCAACUUAAUAAUGGCAUCAGUGAAGCUUAAACAAAAACACUACUUGCAGUGAAUGCUUGCCACCUUGGAUAAUGUGUCUGGAGAAGGGCAUCUUGGCGUGAUAAAACUGGAAUUGAAAAAAAGCU